AGCCCCGUGCCAGUCGGCGGUGGUUGGUUGAACCGCCGCAGCAGCCUGACCGUACAGCAGUGCAGUCGAGCCGGGGAGACUCAGCAAGAGCAGCUGUCCGAGCAAAUGAAGGCACACUCCUCGGAAAACAUGUCUCCCCCAAAGAUUAUCCGCAACAUAUAAGCCUUUUCGUUCCUUAUUUUUGCGGGUUUCUGACGGUCCGCGUCGUCGCUUACCUGUUUCUUCCCCCUACCGACCGCCACUUGGACCAGCACCUCCCGGAGGCUGAAUGGAAGCCGAGGGAGCGGUCGGGCUCUCGGAGGCCAGGGACGGGAGUCCUCUAUCCGGGGCCGCAUCAUCUGAUGAUGCUGACACGGUCGUCGGGGUUAGCUUCGGAAUGGACGCCGGAGACAUGGAUGCUGCAGCAAGGAAAGCCUUCAUCACAGAGAUGCCAUCCUCUUCAGGGCUUCCUGGUCAGGGGAAGAAAAUUGGCCACAGAGGUGUCGAUGCCUCUGGAGAAACUACGUACAAAAAGACCACAUCCUCAGCCCUAAAAGGAGCCAUCCAACUUGGCAUCGGCUACACGGUGGGCAACUUGAGCUCUAAACCAGAGAGAGAUGUGUUGAUGCAGGACUUCUAUGUUGUGGAGAGCAUCUUUUUUCCCAGUGAAGGGAGCAACCUCACCCCAGCACAUCACUUCCCAGAUUUCCGCUUCAAAACGUACGCUCCUGUGGCUUUCCGCUACUUCCGAGAGCUGUUUGGAAUAAGGCCGGAUGACUACUUGUAUUCGCUAUGUAACGAACCACUGAUCGAGCUGUCCAAUCCCGGCGCGAGCGGCUCCGUCUUCUAUCUUACCAAGGACGACGAGUUCAUCAUCAAAACGGUCAUGCACAAGGAGGCCGAGUUCUUACAGAAGCUGCUGCCGGGCUACUACAUGAACUUGAAUCAGAACCCUCGCACUCUGCUGCCCAAGUUCUUUGGGCUCUACUGCGUCCAGUCCGGAGGCAAGAACAUCCGCGUGGUGGUGAUGAACAACGUGUUGCCCCGUGUUGUGCGCAUGCACCUCAAGUACGACCUGAAGGGCUCCACAUACAAGAGGCGAGCGUCCAAGAAGGAACGCGAGAAGGCCCGGCCCACGUUCAAGGACCUGGACUUCAUGCAGGACCUGCAGGACGGACUCAUGCUGGAUCAAGACACGUUCAACGCGCUGGUGAAAACGCUGCAGAGAGACUGCCUGGUGCUAGAAAGCUUCAAGAUCAUGGACUACAGCCUCCUGCUGGGUGUUCACAACAUGGACCAGGCAGAGAGGGAGCGGCAGAUGGAAGGCUCCCAAGGCGGCAGUGACGAGAAAAGGCCUCUGGCCCAGCAGAAGGCCCUCUAUUCCACCGCCAUGGAGUCCAUCCAGGGUGGCGCCGCCUGCGGGGGGUCCAUCGACACCGAAGACACGAUGGGCGGCAUUCCUGCCGUCAACGGGAAAGGAGAACGACUUUUGUUGUACAUUGGCAUCAUUGAUAUCUUACAGUCGUACAGGUUAAUCAAGAAACUGGAGCACACGUGGAAGGCUUUAGUGCACGAUGGGGACACCGUCUCGGUCCACCGGCCCGGAUUCUACGCCGACAGGUUCUUCAAGUUCAUGAGCAGCACCGUUUUUAGGAAGAGCUCCUCUUUGAAAUCGUCUCCAUCCAAGAAGGGCCGCGUGUCGCUGACUGUACCAAAGUGUGGCGGUCCCGGCCCCGCCUGGUCUGCCAGCCAGCUCGCCUCCGAGAGAGACGAGAACAUCUACGAUCUCAGAGGCGCUCGCAGUUUCCCGACGCUGGAAGAUGAAGGCCGCGCCGAUCUGCCAUGCACGCCACCGUCGUUUGAGGAAGCCACCACGGCAUCCAUCGCCACCACACUGUCCUCCACGACUUCUCUGUCCAUCCCCGAACGAUCUCCCUGCGACACCACUGAGCACCCGCGCUACAGGAGGCACACCCAGUCUCUCAGCCAUGAUGGAAGGACCCAGGAGGAACUGCGUGUACGUGAGGAGGACCAGCAGACCAUCACAGUGGAGGUGGAGUUAAAGAGACACGACAGUGAGCCAACCAUCACAAUUCCCCAGCCAUUGCUUGAACCCAGUGAGGCUCAGGAAGCUGCUGCUGCACCUUGCACCUCCUCUUCAGCACCCGAAGCCGCUGCCUCGCCCGCCGCUGUCGCUUCAGCUGCUGUCGUUUCCGCUGAUGGCGAGGCAACGGCAGCCGCUCCGUGCAGCCCCAAACUGGUGGUGGUCACGCCGGACACUGCCAGCCACGCGUCGGGCUCAGGAUGCACCAGCCAGGCUUCGGUGGACGAUGAGGAUGACGUGCCAGUCACCGACAUCUACUUUUUCCCCGAUGGAAGGUCUUGGGUGGUCUCUCCUCUCCGACGGAGGGGCAAGUGGCGGUCCAGAUGGCCAGGAGCAGCUGGAUCCAAGUUCCAACCAUGUUAGAUGAGCCUCCAGAGGACAGGACCUGGGUGUACUCUCCGCUACACUAUGGCUCAGAGUCUAAGGCCCUGCCAGAUGGGGACUGGGAAAGAGAGACAUAAAGCCUGUUUUGUGACUGAAAGGUGUGAAGGGGACAGUCCUUCCGAAGCUUAAAUCCUCCUCAACGGUUGCAGUGCCAUCUUUCGGGCCAAGAGGGGACCAAGUCCCACCAGACUGGCAAAACAGUGAGGUCCCUGCCAUUUACGUAGGAUACUUGUGUUUACGUGUGACAUAGUACAAGUAUGCGCGUGUGUUAUAUGUUUUUGACGUGACACAUUUGCGUUGUAUUUCGCAUUAACAUCUAAAGGCUCGUCUUUCUUGCCCAAUGGUGGCCAUAUUAAAGUAGGACAAAUAUGUGUGGGUCACAUACAGUAGUAUUAUAUUUAGUUGACAUGGUGACCUCUCCAAUAUGGCUGCCAAACUACAACCCCUGGCAAAAAGUAUGGAAUCUCUAGUCUCGGACAAGCACUCUCUCAGACAUUUUAUCAUGUUGAACAAACUCGGAUAAAAAGCUUGAAAAAAUAAUUAAUUAGUUCAAAAGUGCAAGUCUUUAGCAUUCAGAAAUACUAAAAGAAAUGAAUAAAAAAUAUUGUGGUGGUCAGUAAAUGUUACUUUUAUAGAGCAAGUGCAGGGAAAUAUAUAUGUAAUCACUCCUUUCUGAGGGAAAAAAUAUGGAAUCAUGAGAAACAAACAAAGAAAUAACAAUCAAAACACAUCUCUAGUAUUUAGUAGCACCACCUCUGGCUUUUAUGACAGCUUGCAGUCUCUGAGGCAUGGACUUGAUGAAUAUUCUUCAUCAAUUUGGUGCUGAAGUCAGUAUGCAUCUCGCCUAAUGCAAUCAUGUCCAUAAAUGGAGUUGUUUUUCCACAGAAAACCGCUGACAGUUAGUUUUACCUCAGAUAAUCAUGGACUUUUAACUGCCAACCAGCAAGGCUCAUGACCUAUUUUGUAAGAUGAGUUAAUCACCAAACAGACACACCUCCUUUUAAGUAAAGCAUAUAAGCAACGCCAAGCUCUCUGUUCGGCGUGCAUUUCUCUUCACAGCUUUAUUCUGUCAUUGAAUGCACCCAGAAUCUUCCAAAAUUAAAACUGCGUAGUAUUGACCUCUUGCUUCCAGCCUUUAUUCAACAAUCCAGUCUAGCCAUCUUACCUGAAUUGAAAACGAACACGCGGAGGACCUGAAAGACUGCCUCCAACAGUGCCAACUCUCUUUGAUUGCAGUUUCCAGAUCAUCCUUGCAGGUUGGAGCCUUGCUGUGGACCAUUUUUUUUUCAAUUUCCACCACAGGUUUUCAAUAGGGUUGAAAUCUGGGCUAUUUGCAGUCCAUGACGUUGACUGGAUAAGUCUUUCUCCAAGGAAUACUUAAAUAGUUUUAGCUCUGUGGCAUGAUGCAUUGUCAUCUUGGAAAAUGACAAACAUAUUUUCAAUUGAAGGGAUAAGAAAGCUGUCUAAAAUUUCAAUGUAAACUUGUGCAUUUAUUGAAGAUUUAACCACAGCCAUCUCCCCAGUGCUUUUGCCUCAAUGACUGAGGGAUUUUUGAUGUUUUCUUCGUAAAUCUCACUGGAACAGCACCAAACCAAAGUUCCAGCAUCGUCACCUUAUCAAGAGUCAAGAGUCUGCAUUGGACAAGGUGUCAAGAGUCAAAAUUCUGAAUUGGACAAGGUGAUGAUACUGGAACUUUUCAUUUCAUCUCACUUCUUUUAGUGUUUCUGAAUGCUAAAGAGUUGCACUUUUGAACUACUGUAAUUUUCGGACUAUAAGCCGCUACUUUUUCCCCUCAUUUUGCAUCCUGCGCCUUGUAGUCUAGUGAAGCUUAUUUGUUGAUUUAUUUGGGUUAAUAGGUAAGAAUUUUUUUCACUGUGAUGUCAUAAGACCAUCAUAAUGAUGACGUGACACUAACAUUGGCAUUACUGAAUGCUUAUGACGGAUGUCAUUAAGUGUUAUUCAGCAAAUUAUGUCACUUACUCCAUUUAUGUCCAGCUCGGAUGUUUGAAAUCCAUUCGAUAGUGAGACAAUUUGCCUGAUAACACUAAAUGACAUCUGUUAUAAGCAUUAAUUAAUGCUCAUGACCCUGUCAUGUCAUAACUAUGAAUGUCAAAUGACAGUCUUUUGGCGCCACUGUCAAAGUGUUACCAAACACCAUAACUAGCAAUUAAUGAAACAACUGGAACAGCAACUGAAGAAAAAAAUAGCACAAAACAUGAAUUUUGAUUGACAUUAACAUCUGUACCGCUGCAAUGAAUGCUAGGAGGCAUGUUGGAUAACAAGUGUUGACAGCAGGUGGCCGAAGAGGUUGACUGUCUCCCUCAAGGCAGCAGUGAUGGCCAAAUAAAGCUUCUUGAAGCAAUGAAGAUUGGCAGCCAAUUGGUUCAAAGCUUCAUGGUGGUUCAUUUGGUCUUAUGACAGUCAUAUGAUGCCGCUGUCAAAUAAAGUGUUACCGGUUAAUAUCUUUGGGUGUAAAUAUCUCCUAAUACAGUGAGGACCGCUGCGGCUUAUAGUCUAUUGCGGCAUAUCUAUGAACAAAUGUCGUUUUGGUGUCAAAUUUGGUGGGUGGCGGCUUAUAGUCAGGUGCGGCUUAUAGUGCUGAAAUUACGGUAAUUAAUUAUUUUUUUCAAGCUUUUUAUCUGAGUUUGUUCUACAUGGUACAAUGUCUGAGUGAGUGCUCGUCCGAGACUGGUGAUUCCAUACUUUUCACUAGGGGUUGUAUAUGGGGGGUUUAGGUGAGCCACCUGUGGCUAAUAGCAGCGAUCCUUUUCAUUUCAAGUUAUGUUUGAUUUGCAACAUAUAUUUAUCUGCACAUAUAUUUAUUUCUUUUUAAUGUUCCACAUUUUUAAAAAUCGGGUUUCAGCCAAAGAGUUUUAAUUAUUUCGGCACAUUUGUGAGUGCAUUUCUCGUAGAUUAAAUUUCAUAUUUACCAAGGUAGUAGCCUGCCUUAGGGUAAUAAUAGUAUAUGAAUUAGCCCCUAAUAGAUGCUUACCUUAUUGGCUGCCGUUGGCAACGAUCGACGUGCAAUCCGUUCGCGUCCAUUUCAAAUGGAUUGGACGUCGAUCACCGUCAAUAGCAGGGAAAGAAUGGAUAGCCCCAUUAAAAAUGAUCACUUUUUGUCUUUUUUAAAAAUGUUUUAUGUCUAACCGAGGCCAGCAUAUUGCUCACAAUGUGUAUUCAAUCUACUCUCAUCACGGAUGGAGAGCAUAGCAGCAAUAUUUGUACAGUCCUCACCUCGUUUUCCUUUCAAACUGCCUUAUUAGAUUUUCUUUCACUGGUGCAGUCCUAUUUAUUUCUCUUUCUCGUGGUUGUGCUCCUGAGAAUGUGUACAUAAUCAAAAAGAAUAUAUAUAGAAAGAUAUACAGAUAUAUUUUCCAUUGGAAAUGGAGAAUGUUUUUCUUCUUUGGUUUUAUUUUUGCUGCUCGGUCGAGAAACGAUCGCAAUCCAUGUAUUUUGCUGACAUGUUCCUCAGUCCCAUCAAGCAGCUGCAUGCGGCUGUACAUGCAAACCAGUAGGGAUUCUUCCAAUUUGUUCAAUCUGUGUUGUGUGUGUGUGUUGUGUGUCAUCCAAUAGGAAGAGUCCUUUACAGACAGCAUGGUUUCAAAAAUAAGAAUAAUGCAUAUCAGAAAUGUGUAUUUAUGUAUAUCUGUGUAUAUUCAUCUAUUUAUACCAAAGGAUAAAUAGAUGGCUGUAUAUGUGUGCGUGCGUGGGUGCGUGCGUGUCUUUGGACUCAAUCAGAAUGAAGAUGAAAUAAACAGUUCUAUGAAUUGUCCAAUGUAUAUUUUUUUUCUUUAUUACAUAAGCAACAAAUACUGAUCACCAAAUAGUUGACAUAAUUGUUCAUUCUUUAACCUUUGACAUCAGGUGCCACAUCAGAAAAAUGUUGACUCUCCGGUCUCCAGGUACAACUGUUCACAUCUUGCUUGUAACUCUGUUGAAAUACUUCCAUAAAGAGAAAAACAACACCUAGUAUAAACAGAGGUGGGUAGUAACGCAUUUCAUUUACUCUGUUACAUUUACUUGAGUGAAUUUUUGAGAAAAAUGUACUUCUUAGAGUAGUUUUACCACUCAGUACUUUUUACUUGAGUACAUUUGUGAAGAAGAAACACUACUCCGCUACUUUGGGCUACACUAGUCGUUACAUUUUUCCUCUUUAGUCUGCAUAUUGACUUUAUUUUUGCCAGCGAUGCCGACAGUGGCU